UACGUAGGGUGCAAGCGUUACUCGGAAUUACUGGGCGUAAAGCGUGCGCAGGCGGUUAUGUAAGACAGGGGUGAAAUCCCCGGGCUUAACCUGGGAACUGCAUUUGUGACUGCAUAGCUAGAGUACGGUAGAGGGGGAUGGAAUUCCGCGUGUAGCAGUGAAAUGCGUAGAUAUGCGGAGGAACACCGAUGGCGAAGGCAAUCCCCUGGACCUGUACUGACGCUCAUGCACGAAAGCGUGGGGAGCAAACAGG
rnacentral:rRNA from 1 species